rnacentral:rRNA from 1 species
AAUGAACGUUGGCGGUGCGCCUUAUGCAUGCAAGUCGAACGGUCGAGUAUGUAACUUGUUAUGUGCUCGGUAGUGGCGAACGGCUGAGUAACACGUAAGUAACCUGCCUUGGAGUGGGAAAUAACUUGCCGAAAGGCGAACUAAUGUCCCAUGUGGUAGCGAAGCAAAUGCUUUGUUAUUAAAGCCUUAGGGUGCUCCCAGAGGGGCUUGCGUCUGAUUAGCUAGUUGGUAGGGUAAUGGCCUACCAAGGCGAUGAUCGGUAGCUGGUCUGAGAGGAUGGUCAGCCAGAUGGGGACUGGGAUACGGCCCCAACUCCUACGGGAGGCAGCAGCAAGGAAUCUUGGGCAAUGAGCGAAAGCUUGACCCAGCGACACCGCGUGAGGGAAGAAGGCCUUCGGGUUGUAAACCUCUUUUCUUGGGGAAGAAUUCUGACGGUACCCAAGGAAUAAGCCUCGGCCAACUACGUGCCAGCAGCCGCGGUAAUACGUAGGAGGCGAACGUUAUUCGGAUUUACUGGGCGUAAAGGGAGCGUAGGCGGUUCCUUAAGUCAGAUGUGAAAUCUACUGACUUAAUCAGAAGGGGUCAUUUGAUACUGAGGGACUUGAGAACAGCAGAGGGAAAUGGAAUCCCCAGUGUAGCGGUGAAAUGCGUAGAUAUUGGGGAGAACACCAGUGGCGAAGGCGAUUUUCCAGGUUGUUUCUGACGCUGAGGCUCGAAAGCGUGGGGAGCGAAGCGGAUUAGAUACCCGCGUAGUCCACGCCCUAAACGGUGGACACUAGACAUGGGAGGUAUCGACCCUUUCUGUGUCGAAGCUAACGCCUUAAGUGUCCCGCCUGGGGAGUACGGCCGCAAGGCUA